AAAAUCCAGAUAACACAGAUCUGUGUAAAAAAAUUACACAGAUUGUUGUUCAGUUCUAGCUUUCAUAAUCUGAGUAAUUUUUUUACACAGAUCUGUGUAAAAAAAUACACAGAUUUUUGAAAAGCAGUUCUUUCAAAUCUGUGUAAAAAACAGUUGUCAUUUUUUAACAGGCACCAUUAAAGUUAUUCGUGAAGUUGACUUUGGCCAUCUUCCAAACUUUAACCAGUACCCAAUGAAAUGAUUGUUUGUGGAACCUGGUAAGAAUGUUUCUUAAAACUUUGAAUACCUAACCUUACCUUGAUUUUCCUUUUUUAGUUUCCGGAAUAUUCUUGUUGGUAAAAGUAAAAGUGGCCACAGGUUCCGGAAGCCAGCUUGGGUGGCACUUUACGACGUCAUCCUCGUCGUCAUUGUUAUGUUGUUUUUGUCGCUAUCGGGAGAAGCCAACUCUAACCCAAAAAUAACGAUAAUCGACAGUCACAAAACGGGCAAAAGUGCAUCAAAUGUGGCCAUAAAUAUUUUGUUAGUAUAUUUAUUAGGUCAAUAAACGAGAAUAAAUGAUGUUUUAUUUUUAAAAUCAAUCGAAAA